GUUUCGGUUUGAAAUGGCUUUUUGUGGGCGCAUUCGGAGAUUAUUUUUGUGCGGAGAAGUGUUUUUUUUUUGAGAAAAAAUAAUAAAAAAAAAUGUCGUCAAGCAUGUAUACAACAACAACAUUUACAGGAAAUAAAACACCUGAAACUAAACUGUAUCAUCAUCAUACCGACGUGUUUUCGGAGAUUGAAGCAAUUAUUAGUAGCUCAGAUACGUAUCAGUAAAUUGGUGCUCGAACUAGACAAUAUGAUUCGCAGCCAUUUUAAUGAUCAAAUGAGUUAAACCAAAUUUUGUUUAAGGUUCAUGGCUAUGGUCAAAUUUAAAUUUAACGAUGCGACGCUUGACUCACAUUAUAUAAAAGGAGAUUAAUCUGGGUCCACGUACUCAGUCAUAGGAAAUAUUUCGCCCAAAAAUUACGUUGCGAUACUUUGUAAAGCCAUUGAAUAGUAUCAUCAACAAUCUCCAGUAUGAAGAUUUUUGUAUUUUUACUGGCUUCGUUGUCGUUGACGGUAAUUGAGAGUCUUCUAUCAAUCCAGAAGUUAGACAUGGAAUACUUUCGUUACAGUUUGUGAAUACUGCUCCCGUACCGUCACCAGAAGCUAACCCCGAACCAUGUCUGGAAAUAAUUUUUGGAAUACUGCAGCUUUUUUUAACUACACCUCGUCCCAGACGUAGAGACUUUACUACACCAGAUGAUGUUGAACCAGAACCCGAUCCGGAUCCGGAACCAACAACCGAACCAUCAAGCACGGACAGUCAACCGACUGAAGGCAAUUCCUCGGGUGAAUCGGCAGAAGGACCUUCCGUAGACGGCGGUGGUACCACCGAAGGUAAUCCGGAUGAUAUUCCGAAUGAGGUAAUACCAAGAAAUGCGGAUACAUUGAAAAGACUGAGGAAACCAAAAAAGAAACAAAAUGACUGGUGGUUUGGUGGAAUCAAAUGGUAGUGUGACAAACUUGAUACUUCCUCCUUGAAUCGCUUUAAUGUUUUGUGUAGGUUUUAUGAGCUCAAUAAAGGAAUAAAUUCAUUUGAUGGUCUUCAUUGUAUACUA